UACGGGGGGGGCAAGCGUUGUUCGGAAUUACUGGGCGUAAAGAGCGCGCAGGCGGUCGAUUUAGUCGCGUGUGAAAGCCCCCGGCUCAACUGGGGAGGGUCACGCGAUACUGAUCGACUCGAAGGCAGGAGAGGGUAGUGGAAUUCCCGGUGUAGUGGUGAAAUGCGUAGAUAUCUGGAGGAACACCGGUGGCGAAGGCGGCAUCCUGGACCAACACUGACACUGAGGAGCGAAAGCCAGGGGAGCAAACGGG
rnacentral:rRNA from 1 species